GAAUUUUGGGCAAUGGGCGAAAGCCUGACCCAGCAACGCCGCGUGAAGGAUGAAAUCCCUCGGGAUGUAAACUUCGCAAGAACGGGAAGAAUAAGUCGGUGUUAACAUCACCGAUGAUGACGGUACUGUUUGUAAGCUCCGGCUAACUCCGUGCCAGCAGCCGCGGGAAGACGGGGGGAGCGAGGGUUGUGCGGAUUUACUGGGCGUAAAGGGCGCGUAGGCGGCCAGCGCAAGUCGACUGUGAAAUUUCCGGGCUUAACUCGGAAAGGUCAGCCGAUACUGCGGGGCUAGAGUGCAGAAGGGGCAACUGGAAUUCUCGGUGUAGCGGUGAAAUGCGUAGAUAUCGAGAGGAACACCUGCGGCGAAGGCGGGUUGCUGGGCUGACACUGACGCUGAGGCGCGAAAGCUAGGGGAGCGAACGGG
rnacentral:rRNA from 1 species